rnacentral:rRNA from 1 species
UACGUAGGGCGCAAGCGUUGUCCGGAAUUAUUGGGCGUAAAGAGCUCGUAGGCGGCUUGUCACGUCGAUUGUGAAAGCUCGGGGCUUAACCCCGAGUCUGCAGUCGAUACGGGCUAGCUAGAGUGUGGUAGGGGAGAUCGGAAUUCCCGGUGUAGCGGUGAAAUGCGCAGAUAUCGGGAAGAACACCCGUGGCGAAGGCGGCUCUCUGGAACGCAACUGACGCUGAGGAGCGAAAGCGUGGGAGCGAACGAGG